GACGAACGCUGGCGGCGUGCUUAACACAUGCAAGUCGAACGGAAAGGCCCUGCUUUUGUGGGGUGCUCGAGUGGCGAACGGGUGAGUAACACGUGAGUAACCUGCCCUUGACUUUGGGAUAACUUCAGGAAACUGGGGCUAAUACCGGAUAGGAGCUCCUGCUGCAUGGUGGGGGUUGGAAAGUUUCGGCGGUUGGGGAUGGACUCGCGGCUUAUCAGCUUGUUGGUGGGGUAGUGGCUUACCAAGGCUUUGACGGGUAGCCGGCCUGAGAGGGUGACCGGCCACAUUGGGACUGAGAUACGCCCCAGACUCCUACGGGAGGCAGCAGUCGGGAAUAUUGCACAGUGGGCGGAAGCCUGUUGCAGCAACGCCGCGUGCGGGAUGACGGCUUUCGGGUUGUAAACCGCUUUCGCCUGUGACGAAGCGUGAGUGACGGUAAUGGGUAAAGAAGCACCGGCUAACUACGUG
rnacentral:rRNA from 1 species